AUCGUAAAACUCUGUUAUUAGGGAAGAACAUAUGUGUAAGUAACUGUGCACAUCUUGACGGUACCUAAUCAGAAAGCCACGGCUAACUACGUGCCAGCAGCCGCGGUAAUACGUAGGUGGCAAGCGUUAUCCGGAAUUAUUGGGCGUAAAGCGCGCGUAGGCGGUUUUUUAAGUCUGAUGUGAAAGCCCACGGCUCAACCGUGGAGGGUCAUUGGAAACUGGAAAACUUGAGUGCAGAAGAGGAAAGUGGAAUUCCAUGUGUAGCGGUGAAAUGCGCAGAGAUAUGGAGGAACACCAGUGGCGAAGGCGACUUUCUGGUCUGUAACUGACGCUGAUGUGCGAAAGCGUGGGGAUCAAACAGGAUUAGAUACCCUGGUAGUCCACGCCGUAAACGAUGAGUGCUAAGUGUUAGGGGGUUUCCGCCCCUUAGUGCUGCAGCUAACGCAUUAAGCACUCCGCCUGGGGAGUACGACCGCAAGGUUGA
rnacentral:rRNA from 1 species